UCAUUUACUACUCUGCCAACCAAAUAAAUAAUGGGUUAAUUUCAUUCACCUUCCUUGAGUUUUUGGCUAAGUAUAUCUAAUACUGAGAAGUUUGAAAUUUCAUCAUAUACUUCACUUAUUUUGAGUAAGAAGGGAGACUGAGUGAAAAUAAAAAAUGAAAAGGAUAGAUGAGGUAUUUGAUAAAAUUUCAAACCUGUGAGAGUUAGAUGUAUUUAAUCAAAACCUUAGGGGUGGUGAAUGAAAUUAACCUAUAAAUAAUUUAUAAGCUUGACUCAUUCCUCAAGUAAAUAAAUAAUUCAUGGGAAGAGGGUAGAUCCGGCGGGCCAUUGAUAUAUUAUUGAUGGUUUGAAGCAGGAGCUUUUGCUAUCAUCAACCAAAGCAUCUCUUGGUUGGGCCAAAAUCAUGUGGCUUUCUUUGAGGGAAGCGAUAAUGGUGAGAAAAUCUCUCAGUUUGGUCGCAUCGUUGACGCAUCUGAUUAUCCUGAUCAUGCCUCUUUCUUCGAUCGAAGUAAUGAUUGAAGUGGUAUAAGCUUCGGUCCUCUCAUCCAUGGAAAUGGUUAGCCCUAUGAUGUGGGCCGUCACUAAAGAGAAGUUGGCUUUCAAACCAGUGGGUGGAAAUUCAAAGCUACAGCCCAUGGCUACUGCUGCAACCCAUGGGAAUGGGAAUUUGAGGAUCCAUGGAUAGUUCUUGGCCGAAGGUUGAGCUUCUAGGAAGUGGGAGUUUUGGUAGAAUGCACGAAGUCAUCACCCAGUGUUUACGUAUGUUUUUCCAUGAUAAUGAUGAUUAUCCACAUCAUACGGGUCAUUGCUAGACAAAGGUUGCCUUUACAAGUGGGUUGAAAUUCAAAGCUAGAGCCUGGGGCUAUUUCUACCACCCAUGGAAAUGAGAAAUCGAAGAUCUAUGACACUUUGGAAAAAGUUAAGGUUCUAGGAAAUGAGUACUAUGCAUGCAUUUCAACGUUGAUGAUGAUUAUGCAAAUAUACCUUCACAUAAUUAUAAUGAUGAUUAUUUAAUAUCAUGCCGAUCGUUGCUAAACGAAUGGGUGGAAAUUCAAAACUAGAGCAUUGGGCUAUUACUAAAACCCUUGACAAUGGGAAAUUGAAGAUCCAUGACAGUUCUUGGGAAAAUGUUAGGUUUCUAGAAGUGAUAGUUUUGGAAGAGUGUACAAAGCCAUCACUCAGUAAGCGUUAAUCUUUUCCAUUUUGACAAA